rnacentral:rRNA from 1 species
UACGAAGGGGGCUAGCGUUGCUCGGAAUUACUGGGCGUAAAGCGCUCGUAGGCGGCUUUGUAAGUUAGAGGUGAAAGCCCGGGGCUCAACUCCGGAACUGCCUUUAAGACUGCAUCGCUUGAAUCCGGGAGAGGUGAGUGGAAUUCCGAGUGUAGAGGUGAAAUUCGUAGAUAUUCGGAAGAACACCAGUGGCGAAGGCGGCUCACUGGACCGGUAUUGACGCUGAGGUGCGAAAGCGUGGGGAGCAAACAGG